GACGAACGCUGGCGGCGUGCUUAACACAUGCAAGUCGAACGGAAAGGCCCUGCUUUUGUGGGGUGCUCGAGUGGCGAACGGGUGAGUAACACGUGAGUAACCUGCCCUUGACUUUGGGAUAACUUCAGGAAACUGGGGCUAAUACCGGAUAGGAGCUCCUGCUGCAUGGUGGGGGUUGGAAAGUUUCGGCGGUUGGGGAUGGACUCGCGGCUUAUCAGCUUGUUGGUGGGGUAGUGGCUUACCAAGGCUUUGACGGGUAGCCGGCCUGGGAGGGUGACCGGCCACAAUGGGACUGAGAUACGGCCCAGACUCCUACGGGAGGCAGCAGUGGGGAAUCUUGCACAAUGGGCGGAAGCCUGAUGCAGCAACGCCGCGUGCGGGAUGACGGCUUUCGGGUUGUAAACCGCUUUCGCCUGUGACGAAGCGUGAGUGACGGUAAUGGGUAAAGAAGCACCGGCUAACUACGUG
rnacentral:rRNA from 1 species